rnacentral:lncRNA from 1 species
AACAAUUAUGAUGUGUUCAAUGCUCUCGAUGUCAUGGAGAAUGAGUCAUUCCUCAAGGAGCUCAAGUUUGGUCCUGGAGAUGGGCAGCUCCACUAUUACCUCUACAAUUACCGUAUUCGCAAUGGCAUCAAGCCCUCUGAGCUUGGUCUUGUGCUGUUAUAGGGCAGUCUAAUCAGGACAGUCCUGAGUUUACACCUUCCAGGUAAUUCUUGUGUCACUGAUUUAUUAUUUGAAUUUUAUGAUUGUUAAAGGUGAUGAUUUGGCUCCCUUGCUGUAGGUCUCACUGUGCAAUCCCAGUGGUUUCCUCAUUUUGUCUAUUGUGGUAGUGGUUUCUUUGAUAUGAUUGCCAUGCCCAUUGAUGGGAGUCCAAGAUGAUUUGCAAACAAGGAGACUGGAAUUAGAAAUCCUUUCCUUAAUUUAAGGUUAUUAUUCCCAUUAGUGACAUUUUGUGUGCGUGGUCCACAACUUGUAUGCUGGCAUUGAUUUUACUGAGAAAUUUUGAUACAACUUGUGUUAUCGAAGUUGUUUGUGUGCUGUUGUGUUAUGUUUGCCCAUGUAUGGCUGUAUGGAUGUCUUGAUGCUAGGACAUUUGCCAUAGCUCUUUCUGCCCUACCCAAAUGGUUUCUUUUUUAUUAUGAUUAUGAGCAGGUUCUAUUAUUAGUUUUAGUUUUUGUCAUUCUUUGUCCACAUUCCAAAAUAACCAGAAAUGUACUGAUUGUGGCCUUCUGGGAUGUCUCAACUCAUUUGUCCUUUUCUAGGUUAUAACAUCUUCUAAAAAGUAAUAACCCCUGCUUGAUGUCUUAUUGCUUGCGCAUUACUGGAAAUAGAUUGAUUAUCAUGGGCUCAUGGCUGUGUGGGUGUCACAAUCGUUCGUCCUUUUCCAGGUUAUGACAUGUUUCUAGCAGUAAUAACUCCUAGGUACUCUUUGGUUCACAUAUUUGUAAUGUAAUGAAUAACUGAUAACGUUAAACCAUGUUUGUUUAAGCUAAACUGUAAUCAGAUACCACACUAGAAAUUGAUACCGGUCUAUUCAAACUUAAUAUCGCUGGUACUCAAGUGUGAAUCAUUACCGUUGCCAUUUACGUAAUAUUUCGUGAACCAAACAGCACCCUAGUUGACACUUGUAGCGCCUAGGCACUUCACCAACUCAGUCUGCUGUAUUCUCCUCUAUAUAAUGCUGUUAUAGGAUUCUAGCUUUCUCUGUUUGGAAUAUGCAUCAUUGACUUGUGGUUAACAUGAAUCAUUUAGAUUAUUCUGAGAUAAUAUUAGCUGCUUACAAAUAGUUUAACUGGUGGCUUGCCUAAAUAAUUCACUACCUAAAAAUUUGCAUGCAACAGCCGUUUAAUCCUUUAAGGUUGUGCAAUUGUAGCUCCAUUUUGUAGCUGCUGGUGAUAAUUAUACAAAAUAAAUGUAGACCAGGCAUGUAACUUUAUUUCCAGCAUACUUAUGGGGUGUGAUUUGUGCUUGCCAUUUGUUGCACUGCAGUUCCAAGCUGUGCUGAUGGUCUGUUGAAUAUAAAUGUGAAUCGAUAUCUGCACAUGUAAGGAAUCUAAAAGCAGGCGUGCAGUGCAGCAAACCCUGAUGUUCAUCCAUUCAUUAUCCAAUUUGUAUGCCGGCAUGUUCAAGAGAUAGCUUAAGUUAUUGCAUCCCCAGCUGAGCAGAGGGCAAGUCAGUUGUUAUUGUGUGCUCGCUCAGUCGCUCCGUUCCAAAUAAAAUUUGUUUUAGUUAAUUAAUAGGUUCAUAUAAUUUUUGAUGUAUAUGUUUUAUAUAUGUCUAGAUUCAUCAUCAUCUAUUUGAAUAUAUACAUAAAAAUAAGAGCUAAACGAGGAAGAAAGUAUUAUUUUGAGGUUGCCAAUUUGGGCUUAUAUUCUUGGAACAACGAUGCCAUGCACUUGACUAUCUAACCACGUAAAUGGACCAUAUAUGUGGUAGGGCUUUGCUUUUGUCAAUUAAGGUGCAAUAGAGUGUAUAAAGAGGAUAAAUAUUUAAUUAUAACGGUUAUUGGCACUAAGUGCAAGUUUUAUUUGCGUAUGCAUUAUGUUUACGGGGUGUUUGAAUACAGUAGAGCUAAUAGUUAGUGGCUAAAAUUAGUUGAGACAUCCAAACAGCCUAGCUAUUAGCUAUUUUUUGGUAAUUAGUUAAUAGUUAGGUAGCUAUUUGUUAGCUAGCUAAUUCCACUAGCAAUUUUUAGCUAAGUAACUAAUAAUUUUAGUGCAUUCAAACACCAUCUCAGUGAUGUGAUGGGGUGCAAAACGAAAACACUUAAAAUGUUUGUGAAAGGCUAACUCAUGUGCAAAAGAGUUAACACAUUUACAAAAAAGAGGACAAAAAACUAAGUGUUCGGUGCCUUCAUUGGAUUGCUCUGGUGGUGCCUUGCUAGAGGCAUCGAGCCAAGUGCUACAUGGUUUUAUACAUAGUGUGUAGGGUUAAGUAUCGACAUGAUUCGGUGCUCAACCCUAGGAAUCAUCGAAUGAUCCAACACUAUUUUUGAGAUGAGAAGUUCAAAAGGAGUCAAUGGAUGACUGGUGCUAGACAUCAGAGUAAUUUGAUGGUUAAAAUUCACUUAUGGAACAUCUCUAGAUUGCACUAACACUAUAGGGAAUUGCUUAACUUUCGGUAGCUUAAGGCCACCGAAAAUAGCUUUAUACACAAUGCGUAGUGUAAAUUGAUCUAGUGUGAUCAGUCUGAUGAUCGUUGGAGUAUGCGCUACAGGUGAACGUUGGAGGCUGCAACGACUAGUUGUCUCGAAAAAGACAUUGAAUAAUUUGGUUCUAGACAUAAUCCAUUGCCUCAGAAUCCUUUUUGCACAGUUUUUGGUUGGCAUCAGAUUAAUCUAGUAUGAUUAAUCACAUGGCCAUCAGACUAUGCGGUAGAGGUGUUUUGACUGUUGUGCUCUAACGGCUAGUGGUUGAUCUGAUCGUUGGGGAGUUCACUAGAUUGAUCCAAUGGUACCACUAAAUCAUCUGGUGCUUACAUAGAGUUUAACUUUUGCCCCUUCGGCCCAUUGAUGUGUGGGCUCUAUAUAUAGUGGUUUAGAUAGUCUUUUGAGGUCUCUUGGUACUGUUGGUUGAUAUUGCCAUGUACAUAUAGAUCAAACAAACAGUCCAUCUUACUUGCUAGCUUCGUGAUCACAUUGAUGUGAGAUUGAGAGCAAUCUAAUGCAUAUCAGUUAGAAAGUUUGCGUUGUGUGACACUAGGUGGUCUUUGUGACCAAGGAAUUCUUGUCACUCUUGGUGAUUGUUGUCACCUAGCUCGCUUGAUGCUUGUGUAAGACCAUGAAAAAUAUUUUGUUGAUUGUCGUGGUCUUCGGUCAUUGGCUACUGUGAGGGGCUUUGUACUCAUCCCCACAAGAGAUUUGCGAAGAGCAACUAUAGUGAAAUCAUUUGUGUUUUAGAGAGGUUCGUGGUGUUGUGCCAUCUCCUAUGUAAAGUAUUGCUCCUAGGAUCCACCUUAAUGCGGUCGUAGGUUGCCGGCAAAUAAUUGAACCUCAAGGGAAAAUGCUUUGUGUUACUCACUCUCAUUGGUUCACUUUCUCAACACUUGUGCUUGUAGUGUUGCUUGCUUAGUACUAGCUUGUGUUGCUUUGUUUGCUUACUUCGUAGCUUAGUUUUAGUGAAUAGUGUAGCUUGAUUGUUCUCUUUACUAGUUCACUAGUUUUUAGGUGGUAACUCUAGUUGCUUGUGUGGUUGUAUGCUGAACUACUUGUUCUUUCAACUAGACUUGUAUAGGGGGCUUAUAUUGUAUUGAUCAGACUAAGAAAGGUAGUGGCUAUUAGGAUAAUCUCCUGCACUAAUCAUUUGGUUCGUGCAAUGACCAAGUGCUCCCUACGAGCUAGUUAUUCGUCGCUCUAGCACAGUGAACCGCUCAAAACUGUGUUCAUGUUUUGAGCCGGGUCACCCAUAAGCUCUCCGGAUGAUCACUACCCUUCGAUCUUCACCAAACCAUCUAGUUAAUGUCUGUCACCAAGAGUAACAACUACAAACUCUCACUUGACUCUAUCAAGACCAAUGAUGUGGAGCCUAUGAAACAAUUCAUCCACCUUGUGUCCCAAGUUUUUAAGCUCAUUUACAAUGAUGUUGAGCCUAUGAAACAUUUUAGGCACACUCUCAUGUCCUUGCAUUUUGAACUUUGCACGUUUGUCUUUGAAGAUAUAUAGCUUGGCUUCCUUCAUAACAGGUGUGUCUUCAUAAGAAUCUUAAAGUGAGGGUCUAUCGUUCCCUAGUUCACUUUUAUUCCAGCCUUAUAUGUUGCUUUUUUGACUUGUGAGAUCUUGGAUCUAAAUCCCAUUUGGAUGUGUUGGGUCUAGCCUCCUUUGGACGUUACUGUGCUCCCUCCCCUUUAUAGACCAAGGGAGGAGGAAGGGUAUAUACUUAGACCAUGUGUUGAAUUAGCUAAGACUCAACAACCCUAAUCUUAUCCUCGUCAUAAAGUCAUACACAAAUCUAUGACUUUGUAGCAUAGUGUUACAGAUGUCCUUCAUUAGUGAUAGCCAUACUUGCCAUAAGAGAAAGUAUUAUCCUCGUCAUAAAGUCAUACACAAAUCUAUGCCUUUGUAGCAUAGUGUUACUAAUAUCCUUCAUUAGUGAUAGUCAUACUUGCCAUAGGAGAAGGUAUGCCAUAUCACUGGAAAAUGGUGUCCAUGUCAUUAGGUGUGGUAGAGUUAGUAAGUGGUGUAGCUGAAAGGGAAUUAGGCUUACACCUUUUUCCUAAUUGAUUUUGGUGGUUGAAUUACCCAACACAAAUAAUUGGACUAACUAGUUUGCUCUAGUCUAUAAGUUUUACAGGUGCCAAAGGUUCACAAUAAGCCAAUAAAAAGACCAAGAAAGGGUUAAAACAAAGAGAGCAAAAGACAACCCAAAGGCACCCUGGUCUGGCGCACCGGACUAUCCGGUGUGCCACCGGACAGUGUCCGGUGCACCAGGGCACUCGAGGCUGAACUCCUCACCUUCGGGAAAAUGGGAGGCCGCUCUGCAUAAUUCACCGGACUGUCCGGUGAAGCAUCGGACAGUGUCCGGUGUCACACCGGACUGUCCAGUGUGCCAGCGGAGCAACGGCUACUUCGCGCCAACGGUCGACUGCAACCGCAUUCAAUGCGCUACAGUGCGCGGCAAAGUCAGAGCACGCGCAGUUGGCGCACCGGACAGUCUACAGGACCUGUCCGGUGCGCCACCGGACAGCCUAGAGGCCCCACCUGUCAGAGCUCCAACGGUCAGAACCCAACGGCCGGCUGACGUGGCUGACGCACCGGACUGUCCGGUGUGCCAUGCGACAGCAGCCUUCCAACGGGCACUUUUGGUGGUUGGGGCUAUAAAUACCCCAACCACCCCACAUUCAAUGGCAUCCAAGUUUUCCACCUUCUACACAUUACAAGAGCUAUAGCAUUCAAUUCUAGACACAACCAAAGAGAUCAAAUCCUCUCCCAAGUCCAGAAUCACUCCAAAUCGAAUAGUGACCAGAGAGAGCGACAUUUGUGUUCAUUUGAGCUCUUGCGCUUGGAUUGCUUCUUUUCUUUCUCAUUCUUCUUGUGAUCAUACUCAAUUGUAACCGAGGCAAGAGACACCAAUUGUGUGGUGGUCCUUGCGGGAACUUUGUGUUCCAUUUGAUUGAGAAGAGAAGCUCACUCGGUCUAAGUGACCGUUUGAGAGAGGGAAAGGGUUGAAAGAGACCCGGUCUUUGUGACCACCUCAACGGGGAGUAGGUUUGCAAGAACCGAACCUCGGUAAAACAAAUCCUUGUGUCUCACGCUUUAUUUGCUUACGAUUUGUUUUUCGCCCUCUCUCUCGGACUCGUUUAUAUUUCUAACGCUAACCCGGCUUGUAGUUGUGCUUAAGUUUAUAAAUUUCAGAUUCGCCCUAUUCACCCCCCUCUAGGCGACUUUCAAUUGGUAUCGGAGCCCGGUGCUUCAUUAGAGCCUAACCGCUCGAAGUGAUGUCGGGAGCAUCCGCCAAGAGGGAGAUCGGGACCGGCGAGAAGCCCGCUACAAGCCAUGGGAAGGCUCCAUCCGGGGAGUCCACCAACAAGGUGAAGGGAUCCCCUUCACACGACAAGUCGCUCGGAGCGGUGACAAGAAGAAGAAGAUGAGGAAGGUGGUCUACUACGAGACCGACUCCUCGUCACCAUCCACCUCCGGUUCCGACACGCCGUCCGUAACUUCUAAGCGCCAUGAGCGCAAGAAGUUUAGUAAGAUUCCCCUACGCUACCCUCGCAUUUCCAAACGUACUCCAUUACUUUCCGUCCCAUUAGGCAAACCACCUAUGUUUGAUGGUGAAGAUUAUAAUAUGUGGAGUGAUAAAAUGAGGCAUCAACUAACCUCACUCCACACUAGCAUUUGGGAUAUUGUUGAGAUUGGAGUACAGGUACCAUCACCGGGGAUGAAGACUAUGAUUCGGACGAGGUCGCCCAAAUCCGACACUUCAACUCUCAAGCCACCACUAUACUCCUCGCCUCUCUAAGUUGAGAGGAGUAUAAUAAGGUGCAAGGAUUAAAGAGCGCCAAGGAGAUUUGGGACGUGCUUAAAACCGCACACGAAGGAGAUGCGGUGACCAAAAUCACCAAGCGGGAGACGAUCGAGGGGGAGCUCGGUCGCUUCCGGCUUCGCCAAGGGGAGGAGCCACAAGACAUGUACAACCGCUUGAAGACCUUGGUGAACCAAGUGCGCAACCUCAGGAGCACCAAAUGGGAUGACCAUGAGAUGGACAAGGUUAUUCUAAGAUCCCUCGUUUUCUUAACCCUACGCAAGUUCAAUUAAUUCGUGGUAAUCCUAGAUAUACACUAAUGUCUCCCGAGGAAGUAAUAGGCAAUUUCGUGAGCUUUGAGUUGAUGAUCAAAGGCUCAAAGAAAAUCAUCGAGCUAGAUGGCCCCUCCACGCCCGAAGCACAACCGGUCGCAUUCAAGGCAACGGAGGAGAAAAAGGAGGAGUCUACAUCAAGUAGACAACCCAUCGACGCCUCUAAGCUCGACAAUGAGGAGAUGGCGCUCAUCAUCAAAAGCUUCCGCCAAAUCCUCAAGCAAAGGAGGGGGAAGGACUACAAAUCCCGCUCCAAGAAAGUGUGAUACAAGUGUGGUAAGCCCGGUCAUUUCAUUGCUAAAUGUCCAUUAUCUAGUGAUAGUGAGAGGGGUGACGACAAGAAGGGAAAGAGGAGAGAAAAGAAGAGAUACUACAAGAAGAAGGGCGGCGAUGCCCAUGUGUGUCGCGAGUGGGACUCCGACGAGAGCUCCUCCGACUCCUCCUCCGACGAGGACGCCGCCAACAUCGCCGUCACCAAGGGACUCCUCUUCCCCAACGUCGGCCACAAGUGUCUCAUGGCAAAGGACGGCAAAAGGAACAAGGUAAAAUCAAGAUCCUCCACUAAAUAUGUUUCCUCUGGUGAUGAAGAUAAUUCUAGUGAAAAUGAGGAGGAUAACUUGCGCACCCUUUUUGCCAACCUAAACAUGCAACAAAAGGAAAAAUUAAAUGAAUUAAUUAGUGCUAUUCAUGAGAAGGAUGAACUCUUGGACACCCAAGAGGACUUCCUAAUUAAGGAAAAUAAGAAGCAUGUUAAAUUGUUAAGGUUAAAAAUGCUUAUGCUCUAGAAGUGGAAAAAUGUGAAAACUAUCUAGUGAGCUAAGCACUUGCCAUGAUGUUAUUACCAACCUUAGAAAUGAGAAUGCUAGUUUAAUUGCUAAGGUUGAUUCAAAUGUAUGUGAUGAUUCAAUUUCCAAUCUUAGAGGUGAUAAUGCUAAUUUGCUUGCUAGGAUUGAAAAAUUGAAUGAUUCUCUUGCUAGCCUUAGAAAUGAAAAUUAAAAUUUGAUUGCUAAGGCUAAAGAAUUAGAUGUUUGCAAUGCUUCCAUAUCCGAUCUUAGAGAUAAGAAUGAUAUUUUAUGUGCUAAGAUUGUUGAACUUAAUUCUUGCAAACCUUCUACAUCUACCAUUGAGCAUAUUACUAUUUGCAUUAGAUGUAGAUAUAUUAAUGUUGAUGCUAUCCAUGAUCACCUAGCUUUAAUUAAGAAACAAAAUGAUCACAUAGCUCAACUUAACGCAAAAAUUAAUGAGCAUGACUUAGAAAAUGAAAAAUUUAAAUUUGCUCGAAGCAUGCUCUAUAGUGGGAGACGCCCUGACAUCAAGGAUGACAUUGGCUUCCAAAAGGGGGACAAUGUCAAACUUAAUGCCCCUCCUAAAAGAUUGUCUAACUUUGUUAAGGGCAAGGCUCCCAUGCCUCGGGAUAACGAGGGUUACAUCUUGUACCCUGCCGGUUAUCCCGAGAGCAAAAUUAGGAGAAUUCAUUAUAUGAAGUCUCACUCUGGCCCUAAUCAUGCUUUUAUAUAUAAGGGUGAGACAUCUAGUUCUAGGCAAUCAACCCAUGCUAGAUUGCCUAAAAAGAAAACUCCUGCUGCAUCAAAUGAUCAUAACAUUUCAUUUAAAACUUUUGAUGCAUCUUAUAUGCUAACCAACAAAUCAGGCAAGGUAGUUGCCAAGUAUGUUGGGAACAAACACAAGGGCACCAAGACUUGUGUUUGGGUACCCAAAGUUCUUGUAUCUAAUGCCAAAGGACCCAAAACCGUUUGGGUACCUAAAAUCAAGAACUAAACUUGUUUUGUAGGUUUAUGCAUCCGGGGGCUCAAGUUGGAUCAUCGAUAGCGGGUGCACAAACCAUAUGACAGGGGAGAAGAAAAUGUUCUCCUCCUAUGAGAAAAACCAAGAUCCCCAAAGAGCGAUCACAUUCGGGGAUGGAAACCAAGGUUUGGUCAAAGGAUUGGGUAAAAUUGCUAUAUCUCCUGACCAUUCCAUUUCCAAUAUUUUUCUUGUAGAUUCUUUAGAUUACAACUUGCUUUCAGUUUCGCAAUUAUGUAAAAUGGGUUACAACUGUAUUUUUACGAAUACAGGUGUUACUGUCUUUAGAAGAAGUGAUGAUUCAAUAGCAUUUAAGGGAGUGUUAGAGGGUCAACUAUACUUAGUAGAUUUUGAUAGAGCUGAACUCGAUACUUGCUUAAUUGCUAAGAGUAACAUGGGCUGGCUCUGGCAUCGCCGACUAGCACAUGUUGGAAUGAAGAAUCUUCACAAGCUUCUAAAGGGAGAACACAUUUUGGACUAACAAAUGUUCAUUUUGAGAAAGACAGGAUAUGUAGCGCAUGUCAGGCAGGGAAGCAAGUUGGUGUUCAUCAUCCACACAAGAACAUCAUGACGACUGACAUGCCACUUGAGCUCCUACACAUGGAUCUAUUCGGUCCGAUUGCUUACAUAAGCAUCGGCGGGAGUAAGUACUGUCUAGUUAUUGUGGAUGAUUAUUCUCGCUUCACUUGGGUGUUCUUUUUACAGGAAAAAUCUCAUACCCAAGAGACUUUAAAGGGAUUCUUGAGACGGGCUCAAAACGAGUUCGGCUUAAGGAUCAAGAAAAUUAGAAGCGACAACGGGACAGAGUUCAAGAACUCUCAAAUUGAAGGCUUCCUUGAGGAGGAGGGAAUCAAGCAUGAGUUCUCUUCUCCCUACACGCCACAACAAAAUGGUGUAGUGGAGAGGAAGAAUAGAACUCUAUUGGACAUGGCAAGGACCAUGCUUGAUGAGUACAAAACUUCAGAUCAGUUUUGGGCGGAGGCGGUCAACAUCGCUUGCUACGCCAUCAACUGGUUGUAUCUACACCGAAUCCUCAAGAAGACAUCAUACGAACUCCUAACCGGUAAAAAGCCCAAUGUUUCAUAUUUUAGAGUCUUUGGUAGCAAAUGCUUUAUUCUUGUUAAAAGAGGUAGAAAAUCCAAAUUUGCUUCUAAGGCUGUAGAAGGCUUUUUACUAGGAUAUGAUUCAAACACAAGGGCAUAUAGAGUCUUGAACAAGUCCUCUGGACUAGUUGAAGUUUCUUGUGACAUUGUGUUUGAUGAGACUAACGGCUCUCAGUAGAGCAAGUUGAUCUUGAUGAGAUAGGUGAUGAAGAGGCUCCGUGAGUCGCACUAAGAAACAUGUCCAUUGGGGAUGUGUGUCCUAAGGAAUCCGAAGAGUCACCACAUGCACAAGAUCAACCAUCUUCCUCAAUGCAAGCAUCUGAAGCGUCCCCAAUCCUCUGGGACUCAAAUGUGAUACAAUUACUAGUCCCAGGAGCUAGUAAACACAUUUAUACAUCAGAUGAUUACAGAUCUGCUUAAACGACAAACCUAUAAAGGUGGCGAUCAACUUUAAGAGUUGGUCCACAACUCGGGACAUGUCAUCAGAGUAGGGCUGAAGUAGCCCGAUAUACGCAGCGAAGCAAAUCAGCGGUCCAACAGCCACAGGCAAGGUUGGGAACAGUCGUAACUCUUACCCGGUCUCCUUUUUCUGGAAAAAAUAAAUAAGCAAGGGUGAGUACAAACGUACUCAGCAGCCCACCUUCACCCGCGGAAUGGGGAAAUCAGAUAUAAUGCAUGGAAUAUGUGGAGCUCAGGAUAUUUGCAGAAACAGCAAUAUUUUAUGCAGGGUUGUUUUUGAAAAACAUUUUGUAUUUUGCAAAGCGCGUCCUCUCCAACAGGAGCAGGAAGUUUUUCAAUAUUAGAACAAACCCCCUGGACUAAACCAUCCAGGUAUCUCAGCAGUUUCCCACUGGUUUUCCUUUUCAAAAACAGCUACGGGACUUCCCAUCCACCAUAGCUCACGGCUCAACUGCCGGACCUUUUAAAAACCAUUUUUCUCAAACACACCCUUUUUGAAAACCAAACAUUAAUUGCCAUACCAUACCAGACUCGUCCAUUCCUGUGGACACGGACUAUUCGAAUAGGUUUUCAAACUCUGCGCAGAGGUGUACACUUUACCCACUAGUCCGGCUCUGUGAUCUCAUAGCUAGUGAGACCCAAAUCCGAAUCUCUUUCUUUCCUCGCACGUCCUAACCUUAACGGUUAUUCUGGAAGGAGUCAGGCCACCGCCAUAUCCAAACCGGACAAACAUUCCCCCUCCUUAUCCUCCCGGUGCUCCCCAGCCUUCAUAACCCUGGGGUUGGACCGUACGUGUUCAGAUUGAGUGACUGCCCACACAGUAUCGAGUGGUUGUACUUAUCAUGAGUACAGGUAGUGAAGGAUGACAAACCGGUCCUUAUACGAGGGGACAAUCCUUCUGCUCACGCCUAAACCAACUGAGCCAUCACCUUAGGCCCUCCCUAAACCAGGGAGUCCCUGAUUAUCCCACUCACAAGGUGAUAAGGGUGAAAACCCUUCAUCAUACCCAUUUUGAAAAGCAUUUUCUUUUGAAAAAUCACACCUUUUCUCAAAUCAUUUGGAACAUAUAUAUCAGGGAUUGAUUGCGGCAAGCGGCUGGGUGGCCAUAAUAACUUGUCUCAAAAUCAUAUCAUGCAUAAAAUAACAGGCUGAGGGUUGUGGUUGAAAAAUCAUAGGUAAUUUAUGCAUCAAAGGGAUCCAGUGAGCUUGCCGUGCUUAUUCGGCGAAGGGGGAAGGGGAGCUCGCGGAACUGGCUUCUAGCUCCACUGCCUGGCGUAGACUUGCAGAUCUGGCCUCCACGAGAUGGCACGAACGCUCCAAUAACUAUGCAACAUGAACAAGCAAACAUACAAACGAGCAAGUAUACCAACAAAUAUUUAGUAUAGUGAUCAGAAUAGUGAUACAUGGAUGGGUAGAGUCUUGAGUAGAAUAUGUGUCAUGUGGUGUUGAGAUACUACUAGUGGUGGAGCGGAGGUGCUUACCAGGAGGGUAGACUGGAGGCGAAGCGACACUAUGCGUGUAGCUGGCAGAGCAGAGUAACUGAGUGGGUGGGGUGUUUGCCUUGGCUGAGGGUGUCGAGUGUGUGUGGAGAGGGAGAGGGUAGCUGGGUGUAUUUAUAGCUGGGUGUAUGUGGUGUAGCACAGUGAAGUUCACUGUUGGUGAGAAUAGUGAUGAAUGAAUCGUCUAACUUAGUAUGAACAGGAGAGUUAUAGGCAGAAUAUGGGACAAGAGUAUUUUGGGAGUUUUCUGGAAUAUGGACCAUGGCUUAAGGGAUGACAUGGUUGGAUAGGGAAUAGUUUGAUAAGAAUUUAGAAAUGAGAAUUAUUGGAAUCUGACUUUGGGAGCCUGGUUCAAAGGAAUCUCAAGUUAAGUGUGUCGGUGUUUUGGGUCCGACCGGCACACCCGGGGUUGCCCCUCGAGGUGUUUUUAGGAGUAGGACGGUGUCGAAAACUGUAGCAAAAUGGUUCGUGCCGAUUGCACGAGGACAGUGGACAAGGUUUACAGGUUCGGGCCGCUUAGAGAUGCGUAACACCCUACGUCCUGAUGAGUAUGCUUGGUGAACGUGGUUACAAGAGAGCUCUCUGGAUUGAGAAUGCAGAGAGUUGAUUUGGGUGGCUAAGUAAUAGGGUCCAUCGUUCUGAAGGGGUGCCCCCUAGGCCUAUAUACUCGACCGUGGGGUAAUACAUGUGGAUAUGAUAACAACGUGUAGCUAGAAGAUAGUGAACUAUUUUAGUUUAUCUCCCUGUAGUUCUGCCGACUUAUCCCUCGCAUGGCUCCGUUGCAUGGGGGCUCCAGCGCGGGAAAGUCGGAUCUCUGUUGUGGUCGCUCGCUCGACGUUGUGGGUCGUCCGGGUUUGCACCAAUCGGCCUCAUGUCGAUCUGCUUUGCUGGUUGUCUUUCCCCAGGCCCACGAAAGAAUGACCUUACGAUUUAUUGGGCCCUUGGCCUUUCGUGAGGUCUUUUACUCUUUUAGUGGACCCGGGGGAUAUCUAUCCCCCACAAGCCCCUGAUCUUUAGGUUAAUUUAGAGGUAAUCAGCCCAAAGAUCCCAGGUCUAGCUUGCAGGUGAUUUGAAGAAAAUGACUUCUUAUUGUCUCCUCCUGCUUUGAUCACUCGUAGACCGAAGCUUUGUUUCGUGCUUGUGCCUUAGAGGUCGGCAUUUCAAUCUGUAGGAUUCUGAACUUCAUUGGGUGCACCGGAGGUGCACCCAAUGGGUGUAGCCUCCGAGCUUCGAGUAGAUUUUAGAAAAUAAUCUACUCGAAGGUCUUCCCCAGAAAUUAUUUCCAUUUGUGCUCCUGCGUUUUGGUUGAGGGCCGGCCUUUUAUUCUUAUCCCACGCCUUAGAAGUCGGCACUAUCUUGGCUUGGAAUGAUAAUCCAUGGGGUGCACCGGAGGUGCACCCAAUGGGUGUAGCCCCCGACCUUCAAAUGGGUUUUUGAGGAUAAUCCAUUCGAAGGUCUUCCUUUUGUGUCUCUUUGCUGAAAAUUAUCCUUUCUGUUUGUAAAAAUUGGCAUGAAGCUAUCCGCAUUAUGCUUUGGAGGUCAGCAUUAUGUCAUCAGUAUUAUGCUUCAGAGGUCAGCAUAUAUUUUGUCUUUAGCAUCCGAGUUCGCAAUCCAUCCAUAUCUUGCUAGGUAGUGCAAUUUAUUUGCUCUGCAACUGAUUGGACGUUUGAUGGACGUUCUCUGUCUAGUCUUCACGUCGCUUCUGUCGGCCAUAUUUUGUACUUCACUGGCUAUAUUUGGCUUUCCUCUGAUCCUUACUGAUAUCUCAUUUUUGUCUUGAGGUAUUCACUGCGUGCCCUGCACAGAUGUGACCGUUUUGAAAAAUAUACUGAUAAUUCCUGGGCGUCCCGCCCCCAAUGGGUGUGGGCAAGGGACGUCUUGGUACGCUGAGUGUUUUAGCCGGCUGCUUCUGAGUAUAAUGUGAUGUGACGGCGGGUGUAAUCAUAUCCUCCGCGCUGUUGACUGGAGUCCCAAUGGGUGUUGUGUUGCGUGAGACGGCGCAGCCGCCUGACGUGUCUUCAGACGGGUUGAAGUGCUUAUUGAAUGCUUUGCGACUGUUCAGUGACCGCGGUUGGAGGUGAGCGGUUGCCUUCCUUCUAUAAAUAACGCCGUUGUCUCUCUGGCUUUUCCACAUCUCUCGCUGUUCUCUGUUGCUUCCCUUUCUUCUCUCCCUUUUGCUUCCACCAUGGGAAACAAUAACGCAAGCGUGAGCCAACUCCUCCAUCGGAGGAGUUUGGUGACUCGGAGUACUCAGAGGAGGAGUUCUCCUCUGAGUCUGAGGGUCCUCCGGCUCCCUCCCCUGCGUGAGUCGUCUCCCAGGGGCUCGCGGCAGAGGUCUGGACGUACAUCCGGGUCGGAGCGCUCCGGGCUUGAGGGCUCGGAUGAGUUGGAGUACUCCUCGAUGAGGAGGACUCAGACGGCGGCGGCGAGGACGAGGACGACGACGACGAUGACGACGAUGACGACGACGACGACGGCGGCGACGGUGAUGACAGCGGCAGGGGCGGCGGCAAGCAAGGACGGUGACGGCGGCGGCAAGCAGGGGCAGCAACCGGGGCGGCAGCAGCAGGGGCGGCAGCGCGGCGGCAGCAAGGGGCCAGUGGCUAGAUGCCACUGGUCUUUUAGAUAUUAGUAUAGUAUAGUUAGAAUAAUGUAGUAGUAGUGUAGAGUAGUAUAGCGUAAUGUAGUAGUAGUAGUAGUAAUGUAAUGUAGUAGUAGGGAAGUAUCACUCGUGAAGAGUUGAUUUGUAAGUAUGUUAUCUUCCUUCUAAUGAAGAAUGAUGUUGGCUUCUCCUUGAUGAUUGUCCUGCUCAUUUGUGAAGCUGAUUCCUUUGAGACAGUAUGCAUCCUCGGGAAUCAAACUGAUGCUUUUGAAAUAGCUGCCAAGUAACUUGUAGACGGUGUCAGCGCUUUAAGGUACUGCCGAGUGACGAACCAAUAUCGAGUUUUAGAGAUAACUGCCGGGUGACUUGAGACAGUCAGAGGCGACGUCGGCGUUUUAGAGGUAACACCGAGCGACUGAAGGGCGCAUCGGCGUUUUGGAGGCAACGCCGAGCACUGAACACUAUAUCAGCGUUUUUAAGAGGCAACGCCGAGUGAUUGGAAAGCGACGUCAGCAUUUUAGAGGUAAUGCCGAGCGACUGAACACGAUAUCAGCGUUUUAGAGGUAACGCGAGCGACUGGAGGGCGACAUCGGCGUUUUAGAGGCAACGCCGAGCAACUGAACACUAUAUCAGCGUUUUAGAGGCAACGCCGAGUGAUUGGAAAGCGACGUGGCAUUUUAGAGGUAAUGCCGAGCGACUGAAACCACGAUAUCAGCGUUUUAGAGGUAACNNNNNNNNNNNNNNNNNNNNNNNNNNNNNNNNNNNNNNNNNNNNNNNNNNNNNNNNNNNNNNNNNNNNNNNNNNNNNNNNNNNNNNNNNNNNNNNNNNNNACUCUGUGUUCCAUUGGUCUCCUUGCUUGGUUGGCAAAGUCUGCACUGUAUUUCAGCUAGGGACAAUCUUAGUGUUUGUACUCAAAGACUCGCUGGGGCUAAGGCCGUCAACACGGAAAGUAAUCGCACGUUUGUGUAUGUUUGGUGUGUAGCCUUUGCGUAUUGUGGGCGUGUUGUGUGUGGGUGUCUUGUUGCAUGCGUGUGGGUGUUUUUGUGUCAUGUCCUCUUUUUUCUCUUUUAUGAAAUGAUACGCAGCUCUUCCGCGUGUUCGAGAAAAAAGUGGCAUGCUUCUGCGCGGCCUUUGCAUUAUGUUUCUUUUGAGAGAUUUAGUGUUGUAGUUGCAUAUGUUAUAUGUAGAUUAGUCAUUUGCGUGUGACAAUAUGAGGAAGCUCAUUGUUUUAACCUUCCGAACGACUAAUAAUCACAUGCCAGGUUUCUGUUUUUUCAUGCUUUUUAAUCAGUGUUUAUUGUUAUAGAUUGUGGUUUAUUUAAUCAACUUGAGCUUGUUUUUAUAAUUGUAUAUAUCCACUGGUUUUGCUGACCUUGGCAAAUAUGCCAUCUAGCCACGUGCCCAUAUAUAAAAAAGUGGUUUUGAGCUUAACAUAAAAUCUGCAAUUCUCAUGAGUGCAAAUUUCAUCAUGCAAAGUAUCUUGAUAGCUGUAUUGGCAGAAUAUUAAUUAUUAAAUUCAAGAAAGCAAUGUUUGAGCUGUAGAUGCAACUAGUUGCAGUCUAAUUACAUCCUUUUAUCUAAAUGCAGGUCGAUAACUUCUAUAGGCUCCCAGAUUCAUUUGCAACAAGGACUCCAGCUCAAAUAAAAGUUUCAGAUCCAAAACAGAAGGAUCCAUCUAAGGCGUCAAAGACCAUAGGCUUGUUUGCUGCCUCCAGCCCUGCACUAGAGCAGCGAUGGCAGCUGCUGUCAAGGUGACUGACGCCGAGGCAAAAGCACAUGAUGCACAUGAUCAGAUGAUGGAGGCAGAAAGGAUGCUGAAGAUGGCUGAGGAUACCGAGUCUAUCCUCACAAUUGCAGCAGAGAUCUAUGAUCGAUGUACUCCAUCUUCUUCAUUAUUCACAUGUCACCUUUCACUCUCGUGCAUUGUUUUUUUCUUGUAUCGUCUAACUUCACGCUGAUGGUUCAGGUUCAAGGGGGAGAUAACCACAUUAGUUCCAGUGGCGCAAAGGGAGUUUUGAAAUCUAUUGGAGACUCUUGUCUUGUACAUGGGAUAGGUUUUGGAAUCCGGAGGCCCUUACUUGGGAUAUGCCCUAGGGUUAAUAACAACAGCGCACCGCCUGUCUUCAGACUUUGUAAUGAUAUGUAAUCCCAUCUUUCCCAUUCCCAGCCUGUCACUGCAAGCUGCGGUCGUGAAUCCUGAUGGCAGUAAAGUUUUUUUUUUGUUGACAUGACGAAAGAAUAGAGCAGGAAAAAGUGGUUUAAACAGAUGAGGUAGGGUAGUAGGAUGGUAAAGUGUUACUGGUAUAAGAUAAUAUAAUGGCCGCAGUUAUUUCCAAAUCGAGAAUGUUGUGUUCUGUGAGAACUGUUCCUUUGAGAGCACUUUCUUGUUACUAGUGCGACAUUGCCGAUAGCCUUUCCAACGACAGAGAUUCGACCAUAACGUCUUCUCUGCAUUUCGUUUUAGUAGGAUGAUGUCAACUUUCUAGUUACAUAGUGUUUGACUGGUGCAUUCCAUAUUAUAAGUGUAUCUGAAUCAAGUAUCGAAAGUACUAUGUUGGCCCUGCUUAAAAUGUUACUUAUGUUUUUAUCGAUCGAUCGAUCACCACAUGGUUACGAUAACAUCUUAUGCUUACGAUUUAUAAUCUUGGUGAAAAAGAACUUACAGCAGUAACGCAUUUGUUUUUUCUGCUGAGUGCUGAUGAGGCGCUUCGCUAAUUGCUACGCUUACGAGGAGAGAGCCCACAGACGAGAUCUACCCGCUGCCCCCUCGCAACGCAUUCCCCUCCCCGCGUCGUCAUCUCCCAAAUCCCCCCAAACCCUACCGCCGAUCCGGGCCCAGAUCGCCAUGGCGCGCCCACAGCAAUGACGCGCCAGCGCCAGCGGCACCGGCCCGGCUGGCGAGGAGGACAUCUCCAUCGAGGCGUUGGCGCGGCGCGUGCAAGAGCACAUGACCCUCAACUCGAACCCCCCGCUCGCCGCCACAAGUUCUGGGAGACACAGCCCGUCGGCCAGUUCCGUGACGCCGCCGACGCAUCGCUACCGAACGGCCCCAUCGAGCCGCCCACGCCACUCUCCGAGGUGCGCGCCGACCCCUACCCGCUGCCCGCCGCCUUCGAGUGGCUCACCUGCGACCUCGAUGACGACGCGCUCCUCGCCGACCUCUACUCGUUGCUCGCCACAACUACGUCGAGGAUGACGAGAACAUGUUCCGCUUCAACUACUCCCCGGCCUUCCUCCGCUGGGCGCUCAAGCCGCCGUCCUUCUUCCGGGCCUGGCACAUCGGCGUUCGCGCCAAGGAGUCCAAGAAGCUCGUCGCCUUCAUCUCGGGCGUCCCGCCCGCAUCCGCGCCCGCGACGACGUCGUCCGCAUGCCGAGAUCAACUUUCUCUGCGUCCACAAGAAGCUCCGAUCCAAGCGCCUGGCACCCGUGCUCAUCCGGGAGGUCACCCGCCGCGUCCACCAGGAGAACAUCUGGCAGGCUGCAUACACCGCGGGAUCGUCCUCCCAACCCCCAUCACCACCUGCCGCUACUGGCACCGAUCCCUCAACCCCAAGAAGCUUAUCGAUGUUGGAUUCUCUCGCCUGGUCCGCGCAUGACUAUGAGCCGCACGGUCCGGCUAUACAAGCUGCCUGAUGCGCCGCUCACCCCUGGGUUUCGCAGGAUGGAGCUGCGGGAUGUCGCUGCGGUCACACGGCUGCUGAGGGCAUACCUUGCGAGGUUGUGGUAGCACCGGAUUUGAUGAGGUAGAUGUGGACACUGGUUGCUGCCCCAAGAGGAUGUGGUGACAGCUACCUUGUGGAGAGCCCUGAGACGCAUGAGGUCACAGAUUUCUGCAGCUUUUACACACUGCCCUCAUCAGUGUUGAACAAUGCUAACUAUGCGACGCUCAAAGCGGCGUACUCAUAUUACAACGUUUCAACCAAAACUCCAUUGCAGCAGCUGAUGAAUGAUGCUCUUAUUGUUGCCAAACGGAACAAUUAUGAUGUGUUCAAUGCUCUCGAUGUCAUGGAGAAUGAGUCAUUCCUCAAGGAGCUCAAGUUUGGUCCUGGAGAUGGGCAGCUCCACUAUACCUCUACAAUUACCGUAUUCGCAAUGGCAUCAAGCCCUCUGAGCUUGGUCUUGUGCUGUUAUAGGGCAGUCUAAUCAGGACAGUCCUGAGUUUACACCUUC